CGCAUAGGUGGACACGUAGUAGGUGAGCCACAGCUGCAGCGUGAGCGUGAAGAACUCAUCAACCAGAGCCAGGUUGAACAGGUAGAGAAGCAGGGCCUGGCCCAGGCGCCCGCCGCUGCGGAUGAACAUUGCCAGGGCCGCCACGUUGGCUGGCAGCCCCAGGCCCAGUGCCAAGGCAUAGGCCGCGGGCACCACGAUGAAGCGAGCAGGGUCAUCCCAGAGGCUGCAGCCGCCAACACCCAGGUCCCCAACACUGCUGUUCAUCUCUGACCUUGAAGUGGCAGAAGAAAGGUUACUGCGGAGGCUAGCGACAAAGGCAGCCCCCAUUCCACCUUCUCCCACCCCAGUCUCCUCUUCUUCAGCCCUUGCUGGGAGGGGACACUAGAGGCAGAGUCCAUGUGAGAGGGAAUGAAGACCGAACCUGGCCAGCAGCUGCUGAGAGGAGGGUAUGGACUCCAGAGUUUUUGGUGACAAACUGUGGGAAGCGAGGAAGAGGCAGGAGUCCUAGAUAACUUGGAAAUUUCCAACCUUAGUGACUGAGAGGGUAGAGAUGCCCCUCACAGAUGGAGUAUGGUUCAUACAUGUUGGGCCACAGACCUGUGCAGUAAACCCACGUAGGACUGAGCCAACAGGGAGUUCUGGAGAAACAGGCUGAAAUAUAAAGAAGAGGCCUUUCCAGAAAAAGCCCCAACACCCGCCCCCCCCUCCCCGCCCCCAUCCCUGUGCCACCCAGAUGAGAAGCAUGGAUGGAGGAAUGGGCUUGCGGUGCAGUGCCUAUGCACACUGACCUCAGACUUGCCUUGGUGAAGGUCCUCUCCCAGAGAGGUGCCCCAGCGCUUGCCUGGAGCACCCUUGGCUGGGCUGAAAAGCUUUUGCCACUCUCAAGCCUUUCAUCCUGUUUCCUCCCCCCUCACUUUUUGACCACAAAGAGGUCCUGGGUCAGACUCAAACCUCUGGACAGAAAAGCAAAAAGUGCACAGACCCAGCAAUCAGGCAGAUUCUAGAUAACACACAUCUAUUUGCCAUGUGACCUUGGGCAAAUUACUCAGCUUCACUGAGCCUGUCUUUGCUGCAGUAAAAUGGAGAUGAAAAUACCUACCUCACAGGGUUGUUGGGAGGAUUAUGAGAAAACCUAAGUAAAACUGAGCCCUGUGGCUGACACUGGGGAGAUACUUCAUUACUGUUAGUUCCCUUCCCUUCUAGGCAGCACAUAGAUAAAUGUGUACACUCACACAGGCACACACAGUGUGUCAGAGACACAGACACCCCAGGCACACAAAACAACACAAAAACAUCUGGGCAUAUUCCUACCCUCUUCCCAAGGGAGUAAGUGCACAAACCAAUGUCCUGUUACUAUUUGUGACACACUUACACACUCCUAGGAUGUCCUAAAACUCAGUUCUUCCAAAAUCUGCAUUUUUGCCUUUGAGCAUCUCAGGCUCCAAUCCUUUCUGAGACCCUGGGUAACUGUAUUUCCUUUCCCACCUUCCUCUAUUCUGUUCUCCAUGCCUGUAGCCCCACCCUGACCCAUCCCCUGCCAUCCUACCAGACUGUUCCUUUCUUGCCUCUUGCUAUAAUGGCUGCUGGAGUUCUCUCUGGGGUCCUGACUUUAAGGAUCUGAGACAGGGGAGAAUCCCCUCCCACCCACACAUCCCAGACCCUCCUAUCGCCAGCUAAUCCCAAGAAACGACAUGAAGAAUGGGUCCGACAGCUGGAAGGGCUGGAGCCCACCUGUGGCAGCUAUGAGCUGGGUUUUUGGGGCUGCAGUAGGGCCCCAAGGGAAGGGAGUGUCAUCGGAGGACAAGAAAGCCUUCAGCACAGGGAGGGAGAUAAAAAUGUAUUAGGAAGGGCAGGCAGCUGAACGUCAUCGUGCUGAGCUGACCUAGAUUUAGGCUGUAGUUUGGGGGGCACGUUUCCUGAGGCCUGGCUUCUCCUUGGGCUGCUAAGGAGGCACUGCUUGGGCUCAAGAUCCUCCUGCUGCUGUCAAUCCCAACUGCUCGUACACACCAGCUGCCCAGCCUACUCCUCUAGCACCCUGACUUUCCUGCAGCUGCUGGGCAGUCCUACAGCCAAGCUUGGGGGGCCCAGUAGCUGCUUAUCAGCCUACAGACCCAGACUUGGUAAACAGGAGCCCUCAAUCUAAUGCUAGCUGCGAGAGGUUUUACUCAAAGUCCAUCCUGGCAGGAGACGGGCUGGCGGUGGCAUCCUGGAAGGGGUGGAGAAAGAAUAAGGCCAGGAUCCUCGGGGCUCCAGGCUCUACUUUCAGGGGCUUCAAAAUUUUCAAGCAAGAUGGGCACAGUGGCUAAUGCCUGUAACCCCAGCACUUUGGGAGGCCAAGGCAGGUGGAUCACCUGAGGUCAGAAGUUCGAGACCAGCCUGGCCAACAUGGUGAAACCCCAUCUCAAAAAAAAAAAAAUUCCAAUCAGAGGGGAAAUGCUGGGAAAGCAGAGCAGAUUUCAUCACCCCAGACAGGUCAUCCCAUCUACCCUCAGAUUGAAGAGAGCUGGGGUGCCAUGCCUGUCCAUUUUCAGCUUUGGCAGCUGGUGCAGUGAAAAGUUUGAGUUCUGGAAUCAAUUAGGACUUAGUUCUAGUUCCAGGUCUGAUAUAUAGGCACUCAAGCUUUCCAAAUGCAUUUUCUCAUCUGUAAAACAAAUCAAUAUUUAAUAAUGACUAGCAUUUACUGAACAUUUACUAUGUGCCAGGCUAUGAAAUAGUUACUAUCAUUAUCCAUAGUUUUCAAAUAAGCUAGUAAGUGACAGAAACCAUUGUCUACCCCCUCUUCUUCCUUGCUGACCAGUGUGGGUAAAUCUUAGUCUAAGUCCAUCAUGGGAAUUCCAUUCUCCUGCCAGUCAUUAGUCUAGGAAUGGAAAUGGGACAUAGCUCUGCCCAGUGAGAUCCAUGCGAAAAUCUAGGGUCUUCUUUUUUUUUUUUUUUUUUUUU
rnacentral:lncRNA from 10 species